rnacentral:rRNA from 1 species
GACGAACGCUGGCGGCGUGCUUAACACAUGCAAGUCGAACGAUGAAGCACCAGCUUGCUGGUGUGGAUUAGUGGCGAACGGGUGAGUAACACGUGAGUAACCUGCCCCUCACUCUGGGAUAAGCCUGGGAAACUGGGUCUAAUACUGGAUACGACCGAUCUCCGCAUGGAGUGUUGGUGGAAAGUUUUUGUGGUGGGGGAUGGACUCGCGGCCUAUCAGCUUGUUGGUGGGGUAAUGGCCUACCAAGGCGACGACGGGUAGCCGGCCUGAGAGGGCGACCGGCCACACUGGGACUGAGACACGGCCCAGACUCCUACGGGAGGCAGCAGUGGGGAAUAUUGCACAAUGGGCGAAAGCCUGAUGCAGCGACGCCGCGUGAGGGAUGACGGCCUUCGGGUUGUAAACCUCUUCCACCAGGGACGAAGCUAACGUGACGGUACCUGGAGAAGAAGCACCGGCUAACUACGUG